GACCAACCUUUAAAGACUGCUGCAUCUUGAGGAUAUUCUAGUCCAACAUCGAGGUCACAAACUCUCUUUUCGAUAAGGGCUCUCAAAGAGAAUCAUGCUGUUAUCCCUAUGGUAACUAAUUUCAUUAAUCAAAAUUUUUUGGAUCAAAACUUGUGAGUUUUAACUAAAUAAAGAAGCUCUGUUUGUUCCAUAGUCGCCCCAACUAAAAUUUUUAAGUAAAUUAAUAUUUAGAACUAUAUAUUGUAUUUAAUUUAUUGUUUUAAAGCUCAGUAGGGUCUUCUUGUCUUUCAAUAAUAUCUAGGUUUCUUCACCUAGAAAUCAAAUUCUAAAAAAUUAUAUAGAGACAGUUUUGUUCACGUCAAACCAUUCAUACUAGCCCUUAAUUAUAGAGCAAAUGAUUAUGCUACCUUUGCACGGUCAAAGUACCGCGGCCGUUGAAAAAUUAUUCACUGGGCAGGUCCGACUC
rnacentral:rRNA from 1 species